rnacentral:lncRNA from 1 species
GAAAAAAAGAGUGUGAUGGUAUAUUAGAUUGCUUAUAGGAAUAAAGUAGCUGCUUUGUACUCUCAUUUUCACACUGUAGCAGACCUUGAAAACCCUGGAAGAGGGCCAUCAAACCUGCUUCAAAGGACAACCUCUGUAACAGCACCCCAGAACUGGGAGAAAGCUUUGUUAACAGCUGAUCUCAACAUUUUUUUACUACUCUGUCAGAGACUGUCUCUAGUCAUACCUGGAAAAUCAUGGCUGAAAACAGAUCUUGCUCUCUGUGAAUGGACAGUUCAGCAUAUCGCCUCUCCUGGGUACGGGGGUGAGAGUCUACCACCUAUGCCUAUGGUCUCUCUGCUUCACAAGCACACCCGGUACCUUAUGGCCCAGGCCAAGAAGGAUUUAAAUAGGACCACAGGAAUUAUGAACAGGAUUCUUAGCUCAAAAUCAGGCAUCCAGCUCUGACAUGUUCAAUGUAGGCUGCCACAAGAUGUUUUACAAAAUGUUUCUGGACCAUCAUUAAGCAAAAAACUUGUUUAAGUGUUACUCCCUUUGAAUGAAAAUGACUUACCACUGGCAGGUUUGAUACAACUGCUUUACAAAUCAACCAAGGGACUGACAGGCACAUUUAUGUGAGAAAUAUAUAUGGAGUUAGAGCACAAUACUCUUAGUGGCAUUUGCUGGGGAAAUUUUUGUCUGCAAAUUGACUUUAAAAAACAAAAACAAAAGCAAAACACCCUUAUUUAAAUUAACUAUCAAAAAUAAUGAAUUCCUGGAGGUGCUAGUUUCCUACCUCCAAGCUGCGUGUCCUGGUGAGCAGGGC